GGACAAUCUGGCUACGACACCUGCACAUGGAUGGCCAGGGUUGACUCUGCUGAUCUGGCUGACUGGGCAGGUGUCCCCCUUCAUCCCUUUCAGUGAAAGAGGGGGACCAUCCUUCACAGAAGAGGACCAGUCUUAGGCCAAGGGUAUUUGACUAACUGUGCUCUCCUGAACAUGCCUUCAGUGACUGUCAUGAUUCAAAUUAGCCAUUCUGGAAGGUUGUUCAAGUUUUCUCACAUUUGCUCUUUCUCUAUGUGUCGUGUAUGUGGUGUACAUA
rnacentral:snRNA from 1 species